rnacentral:pre_miRNA from 1 species
UGCACCUGGGGAUCUUGUUAAAAUGUAGAUUCUGAUUCAUUAGGUCUGGGUGGGGCCUGAGAUUCUGCAUUUUUUAACAAGCUCUCAAGAAAUGCCAA